UCUUAGGAAAAGUGAGGCCGUGUUUCAAACCCGAGAUAUAAUUAUGAUCAUAUGUGAUUAAGCGUCACACCGUCCACAAACUUCAGGAAUAAAUAUCAAUUGCUGAGAAGGGUAUUAGCUCUCGUGGGGCAGCGUGUGUAUUGCUGCAAUCUGGAAAGCCUUGUGUGGCGCAGGAAUUCGUCCACUCGCACACGGACACCCAAACCUCCAUUCUCCGCCCUACAGCACACUCUGACCGACACGGAGAAAGAGCAAGAAAAAGCGUCGGAGAGGCGGGGCGAGGCGGCGCCCUCCGGCCGAGCCUGAGGGUCAAGGGGCGCGGGGCGUCAGGGCCAGGCAGCUGCCGGCCCCAGGCCAGCCCGCGCGCGCCGCUCCGGAGCUUGACUCUAACCGGCCCGCCCCCUGCGCCCGCGGCAUUCUGGCCUGAGCUCGGAGGCCUAGCAUGGCGCUGCUGGCCCGGGUUUUCUUUGCUCGGGGCUCCCGCUUGCCUCGUGGCUUCGGUUCUCGGCGGUUUUUCAGUUAUGGAACAAAAAUAUUAUAUCAAAACACUGAAGCUUUACGGUCUAAAUUCUUUCCACCCCUCCAAAAAGCAAUGCUACCACCCAAUAGUUUUCAAGGAAAAGUGGCGUUCAUUACCGGGGGAGGUACUGGCCUUGGAAAAGGAAUGACAACUCUUCUGUCCAGCCUGGGUGCUCAGUGUGUGAUAGCUAGCCGGAAGAUUGAUGUUUUGAAGGCUACCGCAGAACAAAUUUCUUCUCAAACUGGAAAUGAGGUUCAUGCGAUUCAUUGUGAUGUGAGGGAUCCUGAUAUGGUUAAAAACACUGUGUCGGAACUGAUCAAAGUCGCAGGGCAUCCUGAUAUCGUGAUAAACAAUGCAGCAGGGAAUUUUAUUUCUCCCUCUGAAAGACUUUCUCCUAAUGCUUGGAAGACCAUAACUGACAUAGUUCUAAAUGGCACGGCCUUUGUGACACUAGAAAUUGGAAAACAACUAAUUAAAGCACAGAAAGGAGCAGCCUUUCUUGCUAUUACAACUAUCUAUGCUGAGUCUGGAUCAGGUUUUGUGGUACCAAGUGCCUCUGCCAAAGCAGGGGUGGACGCCAUGAGCAAGUCUCUUGCAGCUGAAUGGGGCAAAUAUGGAAUGCGAUUCAAUGUGAUUCAACCAGGGCCUAUAAAAACCAAAGGUGCCUUUAGCCGUCUUGACCCAACUGGAACAUUUGAGAAAGAAAUGAUUGACAGAAUUCCCUGUGGUCGUCUAGGGACUGUGGAAGAACUUGCAAAUCUUGCUGCUUUCCUUUGUAGUGAUUAUGCUUCUUGGAUUAAUGGAGCAGUCAUAAGAUUUGAUGGUGGAGAAGAAGUGUUUAUUUCAGGUGAAUUCAAUAGCCUGAGGAAGGUCACCAAGGAAGAAUGGGACAUAAUGGAGGGACUCAUCAGGAAGACAAAAGGAUCUUAAGACCCCUCUGGCCUUCAUCUUGGUUACAGAAUAAAGCCAGUGGCAGCCAUUGUAUAUUCAAAGCUGAGGAAAGUGUGAUGCAGCUUGCCCCAGGUCACACAGUAAAGCUCACGUCUCUCACCAGUUUGGAUGUUUCUUGCGAUUAUAACUUAGAUCAAGAGACAAUAACGGUCCUAAUGAGAUACAGUUAUAUUGCAAAAGCCUUUAAAAGGGAAAAAGCUUAUUAAUCUUUUUAACUUUUUAAUUCAAGUAUGACUUCUAACAGUGCCCAAAUCAUGAAUUAUCAUAAAACGAGUACAUUUGUGUAACCACUACCCAGGUCAAGAAAUAGAAUACACCAGGCAUCCAGAAGCCUCCCUCCUUGUCACCCAUUAUAACUUCCUUUUUCCUCGCUAAAACUAACCACUAUCUUGAUUUCUAACUCAGUAUGUUAAGCUGCUUUUGAAAUUUAUGUGAAUGGAAUCACAAUAUGUAGUCUUCUGUUUCUGGCUUUUUUUUUUUUUUUUUCUGUGUAGCAAUUGCUUAUGCAUUCUCACUGUUAUAUAAUACUCCAUUGAAUAUAUGGUAUAUAUGAAUAUACCACAAUUUGUUAAUUCUGCUGUUGGUGGGCAUUUGGGUUGUUUCUAGUUUGAGGCUGUGCCAAAUACAGUGCUGCUGUGAACAUUCUUGUUCUUUUGGUGAAAAUAAUUAUAUACAUCUUUCUCUGUUAGGUUGAUAAUACCUAGAAGCAAAAUUGCUGGGUUAUAGGGUGUGCAUAUGUUCAAAUUUAGUAAAUACUGCCAAAGAGCUUUCCGAAAUGUUCACAGUUUAACUUCUCACCAAGCAGUGUGUGAGAAUUUCCACUGUGCGCAUCUUCCCCAAAGUUAUCAUUUUAAAUGUCUUCACUUUUAGCCUUUCUGAUGAGUGUAUGAUGGUAUCUCAUUUGUUUUAAUUUGCAUUUCUCCUUAUUGCUAAUAAAGUUGAUUACUUUUUAAAUGUUUUAUAUGUUUAUAUGUUUAUACAUUUAGAUACCUUUUUAUUUGUGAAAUGACUGUUCAAAUUCCUUACACAUUUUUCUAUUGGGUUAUAUUUUUUAAAAUUGCUUUUUCGGAGUAAUGUUUAUGUAUUCUAGAUAUGGGCCUGUGUCAGUUAUGUGUGUUGCAAACAUCUCCUCCUACCCUGAAAUUUGAUUUUUCGCUCUUAAUAGUGUCUUUUUGUGAACAGAAGUUCUUAAUAGUAUUCAGUUUUUCAAUCUGUUUCUUUA